rnacentral:rRNA from 1 species
CGAUUGUGCCAGCAGCCGCGGUAAUACGUAGGGUGCAAGCGUUAAUCGGAAUUACUGGGCGUAAAGCGUGCGCAGGCGGUUUUGUAAGUCUGAUGUGAAAUCCCCGGGCUCAACCUGGGAAUUGCAUUGGAGACUGCAAGGCUAGAAUCUGGCAGAGGGGGGUAGAAUUCCACGUGUAGCAGUGAAAUGCAUAGAUAUGUGGAGGAACACCGAUGGCGAAGGCAGCCCCCUGGGUCAAGAUUGACGCUCAUGCACGAAAGCGUGGGGAGCAAACAGGAUUAGAUACCCUGGUAGUCCACGCCCUAAACGAUGUCUACUAGUUGUCGNGUCUUAAUUGACUUGGUAACGCAGCUAACGCGUGAAGUAGACCGCCUGGGGAAUACGGU